CGUAGGUGACAAGCGUUGUCCGGAUUUACUGGGCGUAAAGAGCGCGCAGGCGGUCGUUCAAGUCGAGUGUGAAAGCCCCCGGCUCAACUGGGGAGGGUCACUCGAUACUGAUCGACUCGAAGGCAGGAGAGGGAAGUGGAAUUCCCGGUGUAGUGGUGAAAUGCGUAGAUAUCGGGAGGAACACCAGUGGCGAAGGCGACUUCCUGGCCUGUUCUUGACGCUGAGGCGCGAAAGCUAGGGGAGCAAACGGGAUU
rnacentral:rRNA from 1 species